CCUACGGGAGGCAGCAGUGAGGAAUAUUGGUCAAUGGACGAGAGUCUGAACCAGCCAAGUAGCGUGAAGGAUGACUGCCCUAUGGGUUGUAAACUUCUUUUAUAUGGGAAUAAAAUGUUCCACGUGUGGGAUUUUGUAUGUACCAUAUGAAUAAGGAUCGGCUAACUCCGUGCCAGCAGCCGCGGUAAUACGGAGGAUCCGAGCGUUAUCCGGAUUUAUUGGGUUUAAAGGGAGCGUAGGUGGAUUGUUAAGUAAGUUGUGAAAGUUUGCGGCUCAACCGUAAAAUUGCAGUUGAAACUGGCAGUCUUGAGUACAGUAGAGGUGGGCGGAAUUCGUGGUGUAGCGGUGAAAUGCUUAGAGAUCACGAAGAACUCCGAUUGCGAAGGCAGUUCACUGGACUGCAACUGACACUGAUGCUCGAAAGUGUGGGUAUCAAACAGGAUUAGAUACCCGGGUAGUC
rnacentral:rRNA from 1 species